GAUGAACGCUGGCGGCGUGCCUAAUACAUGCAAGUCGAGCGAACAGAUGAGGAGCUUGCUCCUCUGACGUUAGCGGCGGACGGGUGAGUAACACGUGGAUAACCUACCUAUAAGACUGGGAUAACUUCGGGAAACCGGAGCUAAUACCGGAUAAUAUAUUGAACCGCAUGGUUCAAUAGUGAAAGACGGUUUUGCUGUCACUUAUAGAUGGAUCCGCGCCGCAUUAGCUAGUUGGUAAGGUAACGGCUUACCAAGGCAACGAUGCGUAGCCGACCUGAGAGGGUGAUAGGCCACACUGGAACUGAGACACGGUACAGACUCCUACGGGAGGCAGCAGUAGGGAAGCUUCCGCAAUGGGCGAAAGCCUGACGGAGCAACGCCGCGUGAGUGAUGAAGGUCUUCGGAUCGUAAAACUCUGUUAUUAGGGAAGAACAAAUGUGUAAGUAACUAUGCACGUCUUGACGGUACCUAAUCAGAAAGCCACGGCUAACUACGUG
rnacentral:rRNA from 1 species